rnacentral:lncRNA from 1 species
UUUAACUGGUGUUAGGGUGGACGAAACUUCUCUCUCUACUUGAUCAAAGGUAAUGUGCUGUGAAUUUAAUGUUCGGGUUUGGUUAUGCGUUUUGAUUUAAUGCAGCUUUAACUGACUAAGUGGCAUUAUUUUGGGUAAAGGAAGGAUUUUGGGGAAUCGUGGUUCUCGGUUUAACGACGUUAACGAAGGGUCUUUUUGGAAGUAGGUCAAGCUAAUACUAUUAGUGAUUAUUGAGACCUGUGAAUUAAACUACUAAUCGAUUUUAAGUGACCUUUGAUAAGUACUAAUCGGUUUUGAAUGACUUUUGUUAGGUAUUCGGGCUCAGAGAGUAUUCGACAUCGAAUCCGUGACAUGUGUGUAAACACAACUCUGUAAAUUGGAAUCGGCGAAAAGCCGAAAAGUGUGAAUAGUUGAUGCCACUUGGGCGUGCGACUGCCCAUGUGGUAGGCCGUGUGACCACUAUGGGCGUAUGGUCGACGAGGCUGGCCAUGUGCGAUUCAUGGGUCGGCUCGAGUUGAGCCGUAUGGGCUUAUAGGCGUGUGGGCCCCACAACGGGCGAACCACUCGGGCGUGUGGGGUUAUUGGGCCAAGCUGUGUGAUCCACACGGCUAAGGCCAUUUUUGGGCCUUGUGGGCCACACGGGCGUGUGGGCUCAUAUGGGCAAAUGACAUGGGCCUAUGGGCUUAUUUUUCACUGUUAAACUGCUAAGGUUGCACGGGUCUUCCGAGACGACUGUGAACCUACUGUUAGGUCAGUAAGUGUAUUUGGACCCCUGAUUGACUAAAAUGAUUGUUAUACCCUUAUAUGAUAUAAACAUCUGUAUGGUUGUAUAUGAGGCAUGCUGCUAAAACUAUACUGAAUGCAUGUAUAAUACUAUGAUUUGGCAUGACAUGUUGUAUAUUGCAUUGCAUUGGGCUGGGGAUUAUAUUAUUCGGAGCUGUAUAUUACUAUUUAGUGCGGCAUUCGGUACUACUUGGACUAUAGGGUUAGGUGGGUUGAUUAUAUCCUCACAUGGAGUGCAGGGUUGGAUGGAGAUGGUGUGUAGAGGCUGGUUAGGUAGGAUUCUUGUGAUUGCAUAUAUAUGAUUGUUACUGUACUAUACUAAGAUGGGCUAAGGCCCAAACUGGACUGAUAUUGUUACUGAAAAAGGGGUUACGCCCAGACUGAGUUUUCAUAAACUCACCCCUUUCGUUUAAUUGUGCAGGUAAUCUCCAAACAUAGGUGGAUCGGUGCAGCGAGGGACUCAAAGGUGGCCACACAACCGCAUAUAUUUUCAUAUUUGAUUAUGAUUAUAAGUAUUAUUAUUUGGGGUAUUUUUACUGUAAUAAGGCCUUUAUGGAUUUUUACUUUAAUUUGGGAUUUGUUUAUCGUUGCUUAUGAUUCGUAAUCACUAGUGGUAGGGAAACAUUGGG